CGAAAUCGGUAGACGCUACGGACUUAAAAUCCGUCGACUUUAAAAGUCGUGA
rnacentral:tRNA from 1 species